UCUGCCUGAAGCAAAACUCUAUGCCAUUUAUCACUUUCUUCAAUUUUUCUCCUUUUCUCUUCGUCCAUGCUUUCAAUACGGCGUUUCUUGGCUUCCAAAUGCUUUAGAGCGCCAAAGACAUCAGUAGGACCUCGCUUUUUUCCGGCAACUUUUAGUUUACCAUUCGAGAAUUUGUCAUCUCCGACUAUUAAAGUACCAUAAGUAAUAGUGCUCUUGUGGUUGUCAUUUUCCUCGUCAGCAAUGUUAUCAGAAGAGUUCCCAGUGUCAUAAGCUGCCACUUUUGAUUCCUGUUUAGCCUUUGACUCCUUUUUAGCUAACUUCUUCGCUUCAGCACGAGCUUU